UAGCGCGCCCGGCCGGGCUCCUGGCCCGCGGCCCCGCCGCCCCCCGGACGGAGAUCGCAGAAAGGGAUUUGCACUUUUUUCCUCCGCUCCUCCUGCCCUGAGGGCCUCCGCUCACCCCACGCUCAGAUCGGGCGCUCCGGUCCAGCGCCAGGUCCGUCCGAGCCCGGGGCACUGGCGGUCCCGGCCGGGGCGCUCUGUUCCCGCCCCUCCCCGUCCCCCGUUGUCCGUGGGGGACGCGCCACCCGUUCUCAGUCCCCAGGGCCCGGGGCCGGGCCUCGGCCUCCCUUGCUCUUCCCCGCGGCAACGCCAGGCCCUGUGAGGCGGGGAAGGGGCCCGCGAUCUCCCAGGCAGGUCCGAGAGGGAUGUGUAGAUUCAUUCUCCUGUGGAGAACAGCUGGCCCUGAGAUCAGGCCCUUUUUUGCUCUUUGUAUUUUAUUUGGAAACUGUAUUUAAUGCUUUUAUAUGAAAGGGGGCGGGGCGGGAAGAGCUGACCCUAUCACCCUAUGUGCAAAUGUCUUAUUUAUUAUGCGUGUGUCAGAGAUAAGCUGUGAGGUGGUGGAGGAGGGACCUGAAGGAAGGAGCCAGGGCAGAGGCGGGGCGAAGCACCUCAACAGGCAGUGCUAGUGUGACUCGCAGCCCUGCCUCUCUGGGAACCGGUAUCUUCACAAAGCAAGGCCACCGCAGACACAGUUCCCUCCGUCCUAAAAUCAGGGUGGGGAGGUCAGCGGGUAGAACUUGUUGGGUCUGGAGGGGAGAGACUCUGGCAGCUGGGGCCAGCGGCUGCCUCAGUAGGUGGGAAAGCACAGGGCAAAGCGGAAGCCCCGCUUCUCACCCCUGCUCCACAGGCCAGAGCCCAAGGUUCAAGUGCCUCAGGCCCAGUCCCCUUGACUCUUCCUGUUUGGGAGUUGGAUUUUAUACUACGGAUUUUAUAGCAUUUUUAUAUAAUUCAAGAUUGUCAGAGUUGGAAGGGACCCUGGAGAUCACUAGUACCACCCCCAUCCCCAUAGGUAAAAUGAAGCCCAGAAACUGAAAUUAUCACACAGCCAGGUGGGAACAGAACGAGAACUAGAAUACAAAUGCCAACUCCCAAUUCAGUGUUCUUUGCACUACACCACCUCCCAAUCUCUGAAAUCAAAUGAACAGCUGUGCUCUACUAUAGAAAUUCUACAAUCUUGUGAAUCCAUACCAGUAUCAACCAUUAGUUGCUUUUUAAAGCCCCCAAAGUGAAGUGAGGAUGGGGGGAGUGGAAGCCUUGUUUGGAUUUUACUUUACCCAAACUGUGUAUAAAGAAUAAAGUUAGCAGAAUGACA